rnacentral:rRNA from 1 species
UCUGAUCUGCUCUGGGUAAGUCGGGACCUAAGGCGAGGUCGAAAGACGUAGUCGAUGGAUAACAGGUUGAAAUUCCUGUACCGCAUAUAAACAGAACUGUGGGGACACAGACAGGGAAUGGAAUCCGGGAGUGGAUAUCCCGGUGCAAGCGAGGUAGGAGUGCUGUUGGCAAAUCCGCAGCACGAUCUGAAGACGUGACGCGUACCGAACAUAAGUAGGGAAGUCCAGGCCCCUGGCUGUCAAGAAAAGCCGCUAUUGUUUUAUAUGUGCCCGUACCGCAAACCGACACAGGUGGAUGAGGAGAGAAUCCUAAGGCCGACGGGAGAAGUAUUGUUAAGGAACUCGGCAAAAUGACUCCGUAACUUCGGGAGAAGGAGUGCCAUGAGAGUGGCCGCAGAGAAAUGGCCCAAGCAACUGUUUAGCAAAAACACAGGUCUAUGCAACCGCAAGGUGAAGUAUAUGGGCUGACGCCUGCCCGGUGCUGGAAGGUUAAGGGGAGAGGUUAGCGCAAGCGAAGCUUUGAACUUAAGCCCCAGUAAACGGCGGCCGUAACGAUAACGGUCCUAAGGUAGCGAAAUUCCUUGUCGGGUAAGUUCCGACCCGCACGAAAGGCGUAAUGAUUUGGGCACUGUCUCAACGAUACACCCGGUGAAAUUGAAAUACCAGUGAAGAUGCUGGUUACCUGCGCCAGGACGGAAAGACCCCAUGGAGCUUUACUCCAGUUUGAUACUGGGAUUCGGCAUGGUAUGUACAGGAUAGGUGGGAGACUGAGAAGGUAUGACGUCAGUUGUACCGGAGUCGCUGUUGGGAUACCACCCUUACCAUGUUGGAUUUCUAACCUGUGGCCGUAAGCCGGUCAGGGGACAAUGUCAGGCGGGGAGUUUGACUGGGGCGGUCGCCUCCGAAAGGGUAUCGGAGGCGCUCAAAGGUUCCCUCAGAAUGGUUGGAAACCAUUCGAAGAGUGCAAAGGCAGAAGGGAGCUUGACUGUGACACCGACGGGUGGAGCAGGUACGAAAGUAGGACUUAGUGAUCCGGUGGUAUAAAGUGGGAUUGCCAUCGCUCAACGGAUAAAAGCUACCCUGGGGAUAACAGGCUUAUCACUCCCAAGAGUUCACAUCGACGGAGUGGUUUGGCACCUCGAUGUCGGCUCAUCGCAUCCUGGAGCUGUAGCAGGUUCCAAGGGUUGGGCUGUUCGCCCAUUAAAGCGGUACGCGAGCUGGGUUCAGAACGUCGUGAGACAGUUCGGUCCCUAUCCGGCGCAGGCGGAGGAAAUUUGAUAGGAGCUGUCCUUAGUACGAGAGGACCGGGAUGGACGGACCGCUGGUGUAUCUGUUGUACUGCCAAGUGCAUAGCAGAGUAGCCAAGUCUGGAAGGGAUAAACGCUGAAGGCAUCUAAGCGUGAAGCCCCCCUAAAGAUAAGAUUUCCCAUACCAUAAGGUAGUAAGACCCCUUGAAGACGACGAGGUAGAUAGGGCAGAGGUGGAAGUACGGUAACGUAUGGAGCUGACUGUUACUAAUCGGUCGAGGCUUUAACC